rnacentral:rRNA from 1 species
AUUGAACGCUGGCGGCAGGCCUAACACAUGCAAGUCGAGCGGAUGAAGGGAGCUUGCUCCUGGAUUCAGCGGCGGACGGGUGAGUAAUGCCUAGGAAUCUGCCUGGUAGUGGGGGAUAACGUCCGGAAACGGGCGCUAAUACCGCAUACGUCCUGAGGGAGAAAGUGGGGGAUCUUCGGACCUCACGCUAUCAGAUGAGCCUAGGUCGGAUUAGCUAGUUGGUUGGGUAAAGGCCUACCAAGGCGACGAUCCGUAACUGGUCUGAGAGGAUGAUCAGUCACACUGAAACUGAGACACGGUCCAGACUCCUACGGGAGGCAGCAGUGGGGAAUAUUGGACAAUGGGCGAAAGCCUGAUCCAGCCAUGCCGCGUGUGUAAGAAGGUCUUCGGAUUGUAAAGCACUUUAAGUUGGGAGGAAGGGCAGUAAGUUAAUACCUUGCUGUUUUGACGUUACCAACAGAAUAAGCACCGGCUAACUUCGUG